AACGGCGAGUGAAGCGGCAAGAGCUCAACUUUGGAAUCGCUCCGGCGAGUUGUAGUCUGGAGGUGGCCACCACGAGGUGUUCUAGCAGCAGGCAAGUCCUUUGGAACAAGGCGCCAGCGAGGGUGACAGCCCCGUACCUGCUUUUGCUAGUGCUUCCUGUGGCCCACCGACGAGUCGAGUUGUUUGGGAAUGCAGCUCUAAGUGGGUGGUAAAUUCCAUCUAAGGCUAAAUAUUGGCGAGAGACCGAUAGCGAACAAGUACAGUGAUGGAAAGAUGAAAAGCACUUUGAAAAGAGAGUGAAACAGUACGUGAAAUUGUUGAAAGGGAAGGGCUUGCACCCAGACACGGUUUCGGCCGGGCCAGCAUCAAGUAGAACGGGGUUAAAAGACCUGGGGAAUGUAGCUACCUCUUGGUAGUGUUAUAGCCCUUGGGUGAUGACCCCUGUUUUGCUUGAGGACAGCGGUCUCUAGGAUGCUGGCGCAAUGGUUGCAAGCCACCCGUCUUGAAACACGGACCAAGGAGUCUAACGUCUAUGCGAGUGUACGGGUGAAAAACCCCUGCGCGGAAUGAAAGUAAGAGGUUGGAACCCUCUCGGGGGUGCACAAUCGACCGACCCAGAAGUGCUCGGACGGGUUUGAGUAGGAGCAUAGCUGUUGGGACCCGAAAGAUGGUGAACUAUACCUGAAUAGGGUGAAGCCAGAGGAAACUCUGGUGGAGGCUCGUAGCGGUUCUGACGUGCAAAUCGAUCGUCGAAUUUGGGUAUA
rnacentral:rRNA from 1 species